CUGUGUUACUGCCAGUAGAUAAGGACUACAGUGAACCAAAGCGAGCAACAGAGGUUUCAUCCACCACCGUCUCUAUUAUCUGCAUUACAUUUCUGCAUUGAUGCUCUCGACUUAUUGAGGAACACUACUCCUGCCUUCAGCACAGUUCACUUACAGCAAAUGGAAAGAAGAGUCCAGAAGUCUAAUUACUCAUGUAUCCCCGGUGUCCAUUGAAUGAAAAUCUGACUUUGUCUCAGCAGGAUAUUCUUAGUACAGGAAACAGCAGCCUUUGAAUCUCUAUCUGGAUUUUUGCCCAGCCCAGCCCUACAAACUCCAGAAAUGAGAAGCAGCACUCUGUGAAUCCAAUGGAGCAGUGACUCUUUAUUCAGCCCUACUAUCCGUGUAUGCAGAAGAUUACGGCAAAUUCGGAGGAUUACUGCAGAUGAAGUGGAUUUUUUUUCCAUUUUAAUAAAAUGGUUAACAAGGGCUGUGGGGGACUGUUUUGUAAAACAAAAUAUUUUUUCCAAUGUGUCGUUUUUGU